rnacentral:lncRNA from 1 species
GAGCCGAGAUCACGCCACUGCACUCCAGCCUGGGCGACAGAGUGAGACUCUGUCUCAAAAAAAAAAAGUCACGAGAACUGUCUGGAAAUGUGAGCAAUUUCAAGCGAGAGAUUAGUUGUUUUACAAAGUUCAUUAAAAUAUGCAUCAACCAUUCUUCAUCUCUUUGAAUAAAGCUGGAAUUAUGAGACAAAGAAAAAAGAGAACGAGAGGGAGAAAAUGUUCUAUCUUACUUCAACAGGCUCCGUUUUAUUGCAGUGCCAAAAUUUUUGAUCCACUGCAACAAACCAGAGACGACUUAACCAGGAUGACAAGGGUAUUACAAACUAGAAACUAGAGGAGUUUCACCUGAAAAUUGGGAGAUUUUGAGGUAACUUGAACAUAAUCUUCAAUAGAAAGCUAAUUCACUCUCAAUAUACAAAUUUUUGAAUACUUAAUAAAACAUAUAUAUCCUUCUGAAUGGAAAAAAUACAAGGUGACAGGGAAAAAUACAUUUCUUCUCUUCCAAUGUCCUCCAGCCUCCCAGCUACCUUUCCCAGGGGCAAUCACAAUGACCUUUUUUUUUUUUCUAGAGGUUACCCACAUGUUUAUAAACUUGUAUGUAUAAACUAUUUCAGUUUUGGAGCUCUUUCCAUUUCAGUUUAUGAGGAGAACUUCGACUCUGACAUGGUGUAAGUCUGCAUUCCAUUUCAAGCUGACAUGGCAAUGCCAGACUGCAAAAUGUAUGGAAUGUGAAGGAGCAGUCCUGGGAAGCCACCUGGGGCCUGUGGGAUUUCCAGGUCAUCAGAAUAUCUCUUGCUUUCUCCCUGGGGUAGUCUGACCCAGGAUUUGAAAAGUAUUAACCUUUUAGCUAUUAAGAACACGUCUACACUUUUGAGUUUAAUCUAAACAUCUGAAAGAUGUUGGGUGGUCCCUGGUGAUUCAUUUCAAGUGCUUUGAGUUUAAAAAUGCAGUUGAAGAUGAGAAAGAGAGGAGAUGAGACAGUUUGCACAGUUAUUUUAUACUGAGAAAUUGUUUUACAAAACUGCUCAAUGCUUUUAUUAACCUCUAUAAUCCAACCCCACUAGAUUUUUCCAAUAUUUUCUCCCCUUACUACCUUAUCCAUACUUUAGAUUCAGUCUGGGCAAUUACUUUAAGGACCACAAUACCUACCAUGCACUUCAGUGACUAUGCUUUCACUUAUAUUGGUCCUCCUUCCUAAAAUGCCCUUCAAUCUCCUUCUUGAUUAAGGACUGCUAAGUCUGCAAGUGCUUACCAAAUUUGUCUUACUCCUGAAGGCAAAAUACCUUAGUAGCUAAGCAACUAGAUUCUAGUAUUUGACUAUAUGUGCUCAAUUCCUAAUCCUGCUUUUUUUUUUUUUGAGAUGGAAUCUUGCUCUGUUGCCCAGGCUGGAAUGCACUGGGGAGAUCUCAGCUCACUGCAACUUCUGCCUCCCAGGUUCAAGCGACUCUCCCUGCCUCACCCUCCCAAGUAGCUGGGGCACAGGUGCGCACCACCAAGUCCAGCUAAUUUUUGUAUUUUUAAUAGAGACGGGGUUUUGCCAUGUUGGUCAGGCUGGUCUUGAACUCCUGAUCAUAGGUGAUCCACCUCCUCAGCCUCUCAAAUGUGCAAGCCAGAGUGCCCGGCCUAAUCCUGCGUUUUAUUAACUUUUUAACUUUGAGCAAGUUUAUUGCUCCAAGCCUUAAUUUCCUUGUCUAUAAAAUAUUGAUGAUAAUGAUUAGAAUUUACAGCAUUAUUAUGAGAUCAAUUGAUAUGGAAUAUAUCUGGUCCAUGAUGAGUGUUUAAUAGAUGUUGAUGUGAUGGUGAUGACUUCUGUAAUUUGUCUAAACCACACAGUUUUCCUAAUUUGGACUUUUCUACAUCAAUAUGCCCUGAUUCAUAAUUUAAUAGUUAAUGAAAUACACUGUUUUAUUCUUUACUAAUUGUUUCCUAAGUUUUGGAUUGACUCUAAUAGAUUUUAAACUCUUUGAGGGCAGGAGGUAUGUAUUAUAAUUAUUUCUAGGCAUAUAGUAUCUGUUCUAUGAAUACUGAAAUAAUCGAUUAACAUAAAUAAUUAAUCACCUUUCAGCCUUAAAUUAGUUUUAGAAUAAUGCCCAGUUGCUUCUUUGGGGCAGAUAUUUGCAAGCAGUUUGGAACAAUUAUGGGGGCAGUGAAUCAAAAAGAAAUUCUAAAAUUAAAAAAAAAUUUCUACUUUGAUACGGUCACUAAUUUCCAAAACAUCAUUUCCAGAAAGUCAAUAUUUUCCUUUGGUUUUAUUAGAGCUCUGAAAAUCCCUCAUUUUGCAUUUUGUAAAAUUACAGUAAACAUUACCAGUAGUGUGUAAAUCUUCUUGUAAGUAAAAUCUCAUUUCCAGAGAAGUUUUGUUACUGGGUUUUGGACAGAUCACUGGCCGAAAUUUAUCUGUGGAUUAUAGUAGUAACUGGUGUUAUAGGAAUCUUAAUACUGGAUCACACCUGCAUGCCUAAUCCCAGUGUGCUUUUCAUAAGAAACCUCAUUUUUCUUUUUUCAUGUUAGUUUGUAUGAAAUCUUCUGGUUUAUAUUUUUAAAGGGUGAUAUUUCCCAUUAUAUAUGCAUAAAACGUACUUGCAGAGACCUGUUUUCUUAUGCUUGGACUUAUCCCACCCAUUAUACUUAAAAUUUAAUCUCAUCCAUGACUUGUGAUGUGGUCUGUUGCCAGCAGUAUAAGAAUUUCUUACCUCAAGCCAAUUUAUUUAGUAUUUAAAACAUUUGUACUUUCCUUCCAAGGGCAUGUCAGAAUGGGUAUUUCUGUUUCAGAAACUUAAUUAACUUAGUUAAUACCCCUCAGAAAAAUGAAUGGGUAGAUAUGGAAAGAGGUAGAGAAUGCUGAUGGUUGCCUGUGAAGUAGUAUGUGUUUUCCUCUUUUCAUUUACAAGGAAUACCAAUUUUGUUUCUUUCAUCACCCUUUUGUCAUGUAGUCAAGUACCUCAGGGGAAACUGACCUUUGUGAUUCCACUACCCCACUGAAUCAAGUAUUGGUACACAAGUGGGCACGCAACCCAAUUUUAACCAAAAGUAUUUGAAGAAGAGGGGAGUUACUGGACAAAUCAGAAAGAAGUUUUUUCUCUGUUAUGAAAGAGUACUGGAAAGUACUUUAUUUUCUUUUCUUGGCUGUGGUCAUUUUUGGUGUAGAACUUGUAUAUUCUGAAGCUAUCCUGUUCCAUCCCAAGGACCAUAUUAUAUGUGGAGUAGAGCAGAGCUGAGAGAACUGUAGGGGAGCCCAGCCAGAACCAUUGGAUUAAUACCUCCCUGAAGCCCACCUUAUCUCUGAAUUAGCAGCUAUGCAAGCCAACAUUGUCCUUAAUAUUUAAGCCAUUUUGAGUUUUCUAUUACAUGUGACUGAGAGCAUGCUAAAAGAUACAGAAAUAUUCUGAAUUUAUGCACACAAGUAUGUUAAUGAAGUCAUUGCCAUCUAAAAUACGUAUUAAGAGUUUGGGGCGUCUUUGAAUGAAUCACUUAGAAUUAGGAUCAAGUUUCUGACAUUUACAUUUGUUGUUACUGUAUUUUAAUCCUAAAUAGGGGGGAUGAUAAAAUCAAAAGGAGACAAGGAAAAAACAAAGUAUUUAUUGUUAACUAUGACUAUUUCAUCAAAUAUGAUCAUAAUUUAGUUUUUGGCAUACAUUCAAGGGAAUGGAUCUAACCAUAAAUAAAAAGGAAUCCUCUAACCUCUAUGAAUCAAUGUAAGACUAUAUAAUUUUUAAAAAUCUUAUAAAUUCAUGUUGAUUAAAGUUUGAAAGCUAAAAUGCCCUAGAACAUUGAUUUCCAUUCCUUUUGAAUAAUGUCAAAUAUUUUCACAAAGCAAUGCCUUACUACCUCAUCUAAAAUUAUAAUGCUAUUUUAGCUAUUUGUUGAGCAAGAAAAUUCAUAAUGGAAUUCAGUACAGCUUUUUAGUAAAUAUUUAAAUUUAUUUCUUAUUACAGCAAAAACCUAGAGAUUAAAAAAUGGAGUCACAUGGCUAAGCAAGAUGUAUUAUUUAUUCAGUCCAAAGAAAUGCUAUGUUACAUCUGGAUUCAAGGGACUUUGCAGUAAUUCCAAGAGGUAGAAUGUAAGUCCCUGGGGGAAAGAGUCUCCAUGUGUGUUCAGUGUUUUGUGUGUGAUGAAACCUAUAUGUGUUUUCAUUUUCUUUCCUCUAAGAAACUUUUAUAUACAUAUUAACAGUUGCAGAGCGUUAAUGGGAGAAGAGAAAUGAGCAUAAAGUAAAAUGCUAGUAGCAAUGAUUAAUGCAACACUUAUUGUGGCCAAGAAUUUUACAUUUGUUAUCUCAUUUAAGUUUCAUGAAAAUCUCCAUUUACAGAGAAGAAAACUGAGACUGAAACUACCUUGCUCAAGCUCAUCGAGCUAGUAAGUGGAGGAAUUAGGGAUGUGAAACAAGGUCUGGAUGCCUCUGGGGCCCAUGCCCUAAACUAUGAUGUCAUAUCACCUUAGAAUACUAAAUCAGGCUGGGAGUGCUCAGAAGAAUUCAGAGCUUCUGAAUUUCAGACUGGUCCACACUUGACUCAUCUGGCUAUUUAAAGUGAAUGUAGCUUCAGAAUUAGGGAACUUGAUAUCGUGAACCCCCUGCAAAUCCGCAGCAGAGCAGAGAUGCCUAGAUUCUUAAUCCAACUCUGUCAUUUACUGACAAUGUAAAUGACAGGGUUUGGCUGUGUCCCCACCCAAAUCUCAUCUUGAAUUCCCAUAUGUUGUGAAAGGAACCUGGUUGGAGGUAAUUGAGUCAUGGGGGCAGGUCUUUCCCAUGCUAUUCUUGUGAUAGUGAGUAAGGCUCACGAGAUCUGAUGGUUACUGUAAGGGGGAGUUUUCCUGCACAAGCUCUCUUCUCUUGUCUGCCACCAUAUGAGAUGUGCCUUUAACCUUCUUCCAUGAUUGUGAGGCCUCCCCAGCCACGAGGAACUGUAAGUCCAAUAAACUCCUUUCUUUUGUAAAUUGCCCAGUCUUGGGUAUGUCUUUAUGAGCAGUGUGAAAAUGGACUAAUACAGUAACCUUGUAUAUCUUAUUAACCUUCUCCAAGCCCCUAUUUCUAUUUCAUUAGCAUUGGAAGAAUAAAAUCUUCACUGUUUAUGUAAUUGGUUUUGAGAAGUAAGCCAAACUGCAUAUACUAUAAAGUACAAAACAAUAGUAUAUAUUGUGAUUAUUUUGUGAUUUUCUCAAGUAUU